rnacentral:rRNA from 1 species
AUUGAACGCUGGCGGCAUGCCUUACACAUGCAAGUCGAACGGCAGCACGGGUGCUUGCACCUGGUGGCGAGUGGCGAACGGGUGAGUAAUACAUCGGAACGUACCUUAUCGUGGGGGAUAACGCAGCGAAAGCUGUGCUAAUACCGCAUACGCUCUGAGGGGGAAAGCGGGGGAUCGAAAGACCUCGCGCGAUUAGAGCGGCCGAUGCCAGAUUAGCUUGUUGGUGGGGUAAAAGCCCACCAAGGCGACGAUCAGUAGCUGGUCUGAGAGGACGAUCAGCCACACUGGGACUGAGACACGGCCCAGACUCCUACGGGAGGCAGCAGUGGGGAAUUUUGGACAAUGGGGGCAACCCUGAUCCAGCAAUGCCGCGUGAGUGAAGGAGGCCUUCGGGUUGUAAAGCACUUUUGUCAGGGAAGAAACACCGGCUCUAACACAGUCCGGGAAUGACGGUACCUGAAGAAUAAGCACCGGCUAACUACGUGCCAGCCGCCGCGGUAA